CAGUCGCCACGGUAAUACGUAGGUCCCGAGCGUUGUCCGGAUUUAUUGGGCGCAAAGCGAGCGCAGGCGGUUAGAUAAGUCUGAAGUUAAAGGCUGUGGCUUAACCAUAGUACGCUUUGGAAACUGUUUAACUUGAGUGCAGAAGGGGAGAGUGGAAUCCCAUGUGUAGCGGUGAAAUGCGUAGAUAUAUGGAGGAACACCGGUGGCGAAAGCGGCUCUCUGGUCUGUAACUGACGCUGAGGCUCGAAAGCGUGGGGAGCGAACAGGAUUAGAUACCCCCGUAGUCCCUGUCUCUUAUACA
rnacentral:rRNA from 1 species